rnacentral:lncRNA from 1 species
CAACCACAACAGAGGCCAAAUUAUUAAUUUACAGUGAGAUAUAACUGUCAAGAGAAUCAGAACCUUUCAUGGGCUGAUCAGCACAUUCUCUCUCUAGAAAGCUGUGUGGGACAGCAGAUGCUAGAUACAAGGCUGUUUGGGGAGUCUGGAUUCAGAGCCAUGGGAAGGAGCAGGUAGUCUUCAAGGCAGGUGUCACUAAGAGAUGACAGUCUGAUGCAUCCAUCCCUCUUUGGGGGCAGGCUCACAGGGGGACUGACGGUGGGCCUACCUGCUCCCUUGACGACAGUGUUGAGACACAUAGCCAAAUUCUGUGCUCUGAGUCCUCACCCAGCUGUCCAUACGCCUUCUGAGAGUUCUUACAGCUCCCAGGUUGGGUACAAUGCAAUCAACCUUCAACCAAGUUCUGUACCUGCAAUCACAUUCCAGUUCUGCCUCCCAGGAAUGACGUCCAAAGCACUGUGGCUGGAGUCCUGGGUGCACUUGACCCUUUGGGUCACCUACCAAUGGUUGCUUUAGAGUGAUUGAUGGCAUCCAUCACGUGUAGUUUUUUCUAGUUUGGCUCUCAGAGAGUGUGCUGGCUAGCCAUCCCCUGCUCCCUGGCAGCACACACUCACACCCUACCCAGCUCUGUUCUCUUGUUUACUCUGUGCCUCAAAAUCUGCCUCUGUGGAUGUGCCUCCUGGCCUCCCUUGCUGCUUCGUUUCUCGUUGGCAGGAGAUUGGGGACAGGAAGGGUUAUGGGUCAGAUCUUUUUCUUCCCCUCUAUCUCCCUGCUGUGAUGGCUGUCUUUGGCAGUGGCUGCCUCCCGCCAUGGCUACAGCUCCUGAUGGGCGAUCCCUCCUUCCAGGUCCAGCUCAUACCGGGCUCCACCACUCUUGUCACUUCAGGCCUAAGGGUGGUAACAGCUUCCCUCUCUCCCUUAGAUGCUGGUCUCUGAGGGCCCCAACAUUCCUUGUUGGUUCCCUGAACUCUGCUCAUAUCUCUUUACGUAUCUCCUUCUGUCAAAUGUCUUCAUUUGAAUCAUCUGGAGUGAAUUCUACUCCUUGCUGUGACCCUGAUCAUCACAGAGGGGAUCCUUAGUCUCAAAGUCUUGGUAGGCACCCAGUAGUUUCCCACUUCUUCACAAAGAGGGGCCUUAGGUUUUCACGUGGCAACAUGUGUUGGCAUAAGAGCAAAAACAAUUGACAUUGACAGGUUUAGAAACCCUGAACAAGUAUAAAGUUUCAAGAAACGUCUCAGUUGUACAAGAGCACAUAAAGGAGGAGAUAAUUAUGACCAUCAGUGACCUUCUCAAUGACAAACCAAGGAGGAUGUGCCUGUCCUAUCGAGCAAUUCCAGGUUCCUGAGACAACGCGCAACCCCUGUUCUCCUUCCUGCUGCCUCAAGGGUUCUGCUGCUUUCUGCUGGCUCUGUCAUGGUCCUGGGGAGGCCGGUUCUGCC